GACGAACGCUGGCGGCGUGCUUAACACAUGCAAGUCGAACGAGUGGAGAACGGGGGAGUAAUACGUGAGUAACCUGCCCUCUGUUUGGGAUAAGCCUUGGAAACGGGGACUAAUACCGGCUAAUGGGGGAUGGGCUCGCGGCCUAUCAGCUUGGUGGUGGGGUGAUUGCCUACCAAGGCGGUGACGGGUCGGCGGCCUGAGAGGGUGACCGGCCACAUUGGGACUGUGAUACGGCCCAGAGGCCUACGGGAGGGAGCAGUGGGGGAUAUUGGACAAUGGGCGAAGGACUGAUGCAGCGAGGCCGCUGGGGGGAUGAAGGCUGUCGGGUUGUAAACCUCUUUCGCUAUCUAAUGGGUAGGUGGAGAAGAAGCGCCGGCUAACUACGUGCCAGCAGCCGCGGUAAUUC
rnacentral:rRNA from 1 species